rnacentral:snRNA from 1 species
GGGCUCAGUUUGACAGCAUAUAUACUAAAACUAAAAUGAAUACAGAAUUUAGCAUGGGCCCCGUGCAAGGGUGAUACUCAAAUUCUUGAAGCAUCCAUAUUUUUG